CUACUUCUUGUUCAGCCAAUUGCUCAGAGAAACAAAUUCAGGAGAUAAUGCUGCCCACUUCUUGUUUACAAUGUCACCUGAAAGUGAGAACAGGUGUUCUCAUGGCACUAUUGUAGCUGGCAUCACAAGACAUUUACGUACCAGAUGCGCAUGCUUCCACCACCAUUCCAGGGGACAUGCAUCCAUGUUGAUGAUGGGGUCUGCUUGAAAACCAUCCAAAGCAGUGCAGACUGACGCAUGUUCAUUUUCGUUAUCUGAGUCAGAUG